GUCAGGAUGGCUGAGCAGUCUGAGGGGCUGCGUUCAGGUCGCGGUCUGCCCUGGAGGCGUGGGUUCGAAUCCCACUCCUGAAA
rfam:Pan troglodytes isolate Yerkes chimp pedigree #C0471 (Clint) chromosome 9, whole genome shotgun sequence.